GGGGUUAUAGCUCAGGGGUAGGGCAUGUGCUUGGCAUGCAUGAGGUUCUGGGUUCAAUCCCCAGUGCCUCCG
rnacentral:tRNA from 1 species